GGCUUUUACUAUUUGAAUCUUCCGAGACCACCGUCAUUUGUCCGGUUAACCCCUCCAUUAGUUUAUAUCAAGGAUUAUCUUAGAUUUUAUUUAGCAACCUCUCUUAAAUCACACCACAUCUAGAUUAUUCUUGUGGAUAGAGUGGGGGAUGCCAGAUAAUCUAAAGCUUGCACUAGGGUGGGUGAUGACAGGGCCAGAGAUUGAUGAAGGAACGGAGGCAUUACCUAUAUGAAAAUUUUGGACAAUUCGUGUUGAAAGCUAAGUUGCGGACUCUUACUUUCAGUGCUGCACCAGUGGCGACGCGUACUUCUACCAAAAUUGAUUCGAGAAAUAAGGGACAAAAGCGAGGGUGAAACAAUAAUUAGGCAUAUGUUUUUUUAUCGUUAAAAGAUAUUUGUACUAAAAAGCCAGACACUAAGGGUGCUUUAAAGAUAUUAACAGGUCAAUAUCACUGUUGAAUGCGCAAUGAACUCAAGAAGUCUAUCAUGACUUCUAUAUCUCAUUUGCAAUAGUGAUGUUACACCCAAAAACAAUAAAGAGAUGCAUGUGUACUCAAUAAUUUCAGAGUUGAACUUGCUCUCGGUGCAUUCCUUUC